GACAGAGGCCCCGAGCGUUAGGCGGAAUCACUGGGCUUAAAGCGUGUGUAGGCGGGCCCGUAAGUGUCUUGUGAAAUCCCACGGCUCAACCGUGGAACUGCUGGGCAUACUGCGGGUCUUGGGCCAACUAGGGGCAGCCGGAACAAGCGGUGGAGCGGUGAAAUGCGUAGAUAUCAGGAGGAACACCGAUGGCGAAGGCAGGUCUCUGGGCCACUACUGACGCUGAGAAGCGAAAGCAUGGGGAGCGAACAGG
rnacentral:rRNA from 1 species